rnacentral:lncRNA from 1 species
UUACCGGUUGGUUUGGGUGAAUUUUUGCGGUGAGUUAUGAGAUUUUUAUGUUAAAGACUAUUGCCGGUUAAGCUCUUUCCUAAACAUGCGUCUGUUCCUUCAGUAGCUGACAAAAGCUGAAGAGUUCGAACUCGGUUCGCACUUUGCUUGUACUUUUGGUUUGUCUACUUCAUUAACUUGUUAUUUGUUUUGAUUAUUUUCAUUUCUAUCACCAACAGAUCUGCCGGCAAUUGAAGUGAAUCUGUACUCGGCAGAUUGAAUACCGACCCUCUGCCUCCACGAGCCACGAUCAUUCUUGAGAACUUCAAAUCCUGGCUUUCUCGAAUUGAAGUUUGUCCUUAACUUACUUGUAUGGUGACAUGCAUUAAUAUUACUACAAUGUUAGAAAAAGUUGC